rnacentral:rRNA from 1 species
UUAAGCGACUAAGCGUACACGGUGGAUGCCCUGGCAGUCAGAGGCGAUGAAGGACGUGCUAAUCUGCGAUAAGCGUCGGUGAGGUGAUAUGAACCGUUAUAACCGGCGAUUUCCGAAUGGGGAAACCCAGUGUGAUUCGUCACACUAUCAUUAACUGAAUCCAUAGGUUAAUGAGGCGAACCGGGGGAACUGAAACAUCUAAGUACCCCGAGGAAAAGAAAUCAACCGAGAUUCCCCCAGUAGCGGCGAGCGAACGGGGAGGAGCCCAGAGCCUGAAUCAGUGUGUGUGUUAGUGGAAGCGUCUGGAAAGGCGCGCGAUACAGGGUGACAGCCCCGUACACAAAAAUGCACAUACUGUGAGCUCGAUGAGUAGGGCGGGACACGUGGUAUCCUGUCUGAAUAUGGGGGGACCAUCCUCCAAGGCUAAAUACUCCUGACUGACCGAUAGUGAACCAGUACCGUGAGGGAAAGGCGAAAAGAACCCCGGCGAGGGGAGUGAAAAAGAACCUGAAACCGUGUACGUACAAGCAGUGGGAGCCUCUUAAUGGGGUGACUGCGUACCUUUUGUAUAAUGGGUCAGCGACUUAUAUUCUGUAGCAAGGUUAACCGAAUAGGGGAGCCGAAGGGAAACCGAGUCUUAACUGGGCGUUAAGUUGCAGGGUAUAGACCCGAAACCCGGUGAUCUAGCCAUGGGCAGGUUGAAGGUUGGGUAACACUAACUGGAGGACCGAACCGACUAAUGUUGAAAAAUUAGCGGAUGACUUGUGGCUGGGGGUGAAAGGCCAAUCAAACCGGGAGAUAGCUGGUUCUCCCCGAAAGCUAUUUAGGUAGCGCCUCGUGAAUUCAUCUCCGGGGGUAGAGCACUGUUUCGGCAAGGGGGUCAUCCCGACUUACCAACCCGAUGCAAACUGCGAAUACCGGAGAAUGUUAUCACGGGAGACACACGGCGGGUGCUAACGUCCGUCGUGAAGAGGGAAACAACCCAGACCGCCAGCUAAGGUCCCAAAGUCAUGGUUAAGUGGGAAACGAUGUGGGAAGGCCCAGACAGCCAGGAUGUUGGCUUAGAAGCAGCCAUCAUUUAAAGAAAGCGUAAUAGCUCACUGGUCGAGUCGGCCUGCGCGGAAGAUGUAACGGGGCUAAACCAUGCACCGAAGCUGCGGCAGCGACACUAUGUGUUGUUGGGUAGGGGAGCGUUCUGUAAGCCUGUGAAGGUGUCCUGUGAGGGAUGCUGGAGGUAUCAGAAGUGCGAAUGCUGACAUAAGUAACGAUAAAGCGGGUGAAAAGCCCGCUCGCCGGAAGACCAAGGGUUCCUGUCCAACGUUAAUCGGGGCAGGGUGAGUCGACCCCUAAGGCGAGGCCGAAAGGCGUAGUCGAUGGGAAACAGGUUAAUAUUCCUGUACUUGGUGUUACUGCGAAGGGGGGACGGAGAAGGCUAUGUUGGCCGGGCGACGGUUGUCCCGGUUUAAGCGUGUAGGCUGGUUUUCCAGGCAAAUCCGGAAAACCAAGGCUGAGGCGUGAUGACGAGGCACUACGGUGCUGAAGCGACAAAUGCCCUGCUUCCAGGAAAAGCCUCUAAGCAUCAGGUAACAUCAAAUCGUACCCCAAACCGACACAGGUGGUCAGGUAGAGAAUACCAAGGCGCUUGAGAGAACUCGGGUGAAGGAACUAGGCAAAAUGGUGCCGUAACUUCGGGAGAAGGCACGCUGAUAUGUAGGUGAAGCGACUUGCUCGUGGAGCUGAAAUCAGUCGAAGAUACCAGCUGGCUGCAACUGUUUAUUAAAAACACAGCACUGUGCAAACACGAAAGUGGACGUAUACGGUGUGACGCCUGCCCGGUGCCGGAAGGUUAAUUGAUGGGGUUAGCGGCAACGCGAAGCUCUUGAUCGAAGCCCCGGUAAACGGCGGCCGUAACUAUAACGGUCCUAAGGUAGCGAAAUUCCUUGUCGGGUAAGUUCCGACCUGCACGAAUGGCGUAAUGAUGGCCAGGCUGUCUCCACCCGAGACUCAGUGAAAUUGAACUCGCUGUGAAGAUGCAGUGUACCCGCGGCAAGACGGAAAGACCCCGUGAACCUUUACUAUAGCUUGACACUGAACAUUGAGCCUUGAUGUGUAGGAUAGGUGGGAGGCUUUGAAGUGUGGACGCCAGUCUGCAUGGAGCCGACCUUGAAAUACCACCCUUUAAUGUUUGAUGUUCUAACGUUGGCCCGUAAUCCGGGUUGCGGACAGUGUCUGGUGGGUAGUUUGACUGGGGCGGUCUCCUCCUAAAGAGUAACGGAGGAGCACGAAGGUUGGCUAAUCCUGGUCGGACAUCAGGAGGUUAGUGCAAUGGCAUAAGCCAGCUUGACUGCGAGCGUGACGGCGCGAGCAGGUGCGAAAGCAGGUCAUAGUGAUCCGGUGGUUCUGAAUGGAAGGGCCAUCGCUCAACGGAUAAAAGGUACUCCGGGGAUAACAGGCUGAUACCGCCCAAGAGUUCAUAUCGACGGCGGUGUUUGGCACCUCGAUGUCGGCUCAUCACAUCCUGGGGCUGAAGUAGGUCCCAAGGGUAUGGCUGUUCGCCAUUUAAAGUGGUACGCGAGCUGGGUUUAGAACGUCGUGAGACAGUUCGGUCCCUAUCUGCCGUGGGCGCUGGAGAACUGAGGGGGGCUGCUCCUAGUACGAGAGGACCGGAGUGGACGCAUCACUGGUGUUCGGGUUGUCAUGCCAAUGGCACUGCCCGGUAGCUAAAUGCGGAAGAGAUAAGUGCUGAAAGCAUCUAAGCACGAAACUUGCCCCGAGAUGAGUUCUCCCUGACUCCUUGAGACUCCUGAAGGAACGUUGAAGACGACGACGUUGAUAGGCCGGGUGUGUAAGCGCAGCGAUGCGUUGAGCUAACCGGUACUAAUGAACCGUGAGGCUUAACCUU